UACGAAGGGGGCUAGCGUUGCUCGGAAUCACUGGGCGUAAAGCGCACGUAGGCGGAUUCUUAAGUCGGGGGUGAAAUCCUGGAGCUCAACUCCAGAACUGCCUUCGAUACUGGCGAUCUCGAGUCCGGGAGAGGUGAGUGGAACUCCGAGUGUAGAGGUGAAAUUCGUAGAUAUUCGGAAGAACACCAGUGGCGAAGGCGGCUCACUGGCCCGGUACUGACGCUGAGGUGCGAAAGCGUGGGGAGCAAACAGG
rnacentral:rRNA from 1 species